UGGGGAAUAUUGCACAAUGGGGGAAACCCUGAUGCAGCAAUGCCGCGUGAGUGAUGACGGCCUUCGGGUUGUAAAGCUCUGUCUUCGGGGACGAUAAUGACGGUACCCGAGGAGGAAGCCACGGCUAACUACGUGCCAGCAGCCGCGGUAAUACGUAGGUGGCAAGCGUUGUCCGGAUUUACUGGGCGUAAAGGGAGCGUAGGCGGAUUUUUAAGUGAGAUGUGAAAUACCCGGGCUUAACUUGGGUGCUGCAUUUCAAACUGGAAGUCUAGAGUGCAGGAGAGGAGAAGGGAAUUCCUAGUGUAGCGGUGAAAUGCGUAGAGAUUAGGAAGAACACCAGUGGCGAAGGCGCUUCUCUGGACUGUAACUGACGCUGAGGCUCGAAAGCGUGGGGAGCAAACAGG
rnacentral:rRNA from 1 species